rnacentral:rRNA from 1 species
GAUGAACGCUAGCGACAGGCCUAACACAUGCAAGUCGAGGGGCAGCGCGUGGUAGCAAUACCAUGGCGGCGACCGGCGCACGGGUGCGUAACGCGUAUGCAACCUGGCCCCCACGGGGGGAUAGCCCGCCGAAAGGCGGAUUAAUACCCCGUAUGCCUGGCGGCCCGCAUGGGCUUUCAGGGAAAGUGGCGACACGGUGGGGGAUGGGCAUGCGUCCCAUUAGCUUGUUGGCGGUGCAACGGACCACCAAGGCGACGAUGGGUAGGGGUUCUGAGAGGAAGGCCCCCCACACUGGUACUGAGACAGGGACCAGACUCCUACGGGAGGCAGCAGUGAGGAAUAUUGGUCAAUGGGCGGAAGCCUGAACCAGCCAAGUCGCGUGCAGGAGGAAGGCCCUACGGGUCGCAGACUGCUUUUAUGCGGGGAUAGCGGGGUCGACGUGUCGGCCUAUGAAGGUACCGCAUGAAUAAGGAUCGGCUAACUCCGUGCCAGCAGCCGCGGUAAUACGGAGGAUCCGAGCGUUAUCCGGAUUCAUUGGGUUUAAAGGGUGCGCAGGCCGGACGUUAAGUCAGGGGUGAAAGGCCGCGGCUCAACCGCGGGACUGCCCUUGAUACUGGCGUCCUUGAGUGGAGGCGACGGACGCGGAAUGCGGCGUGUAGCGGUGAAAUGCUUAGAUACGCCGCAGAACACCGAUUGCGAAGGCAGCGUCCGAGGGUCCUACUGACGCUGAGGCACGAAGGCAUGGGGAUCGAACAGGAUUAGAUACCCUGGUAGUCCAUGCAGUAAACGAUGAGCGCCCGCCCUGCGCGAGAUAUCGUGCGGGGCUUAGGGAAACCGUUAAGCGCUCCACCUGGGGAGUACGCCGGCAACGGUGAAACUCAAAGGAAUUGACGGGGGCCCGCACAAGCGGAGGAACAUGUGGUUUAAUUCGAUGAUACGCGAGGAACCUUACCCGGGCUUGAAAUCAGGAGGAGCAGGUUGGAGACAGCCUGGCCCGCAAGGGCCUCCUGGUAGGUGCUGCAUGGUUGUCGUCAGCUCGUGCCGUGAGGUGUUGGCUCAAGUGCCAUAACGAGCGCAACCCCCGCCGCCAGUUGCCACCGGGUCGAGCCGGGCACUCUGGCGGGACUGCCGCCGCAAGGUGCGAGGAGGGUGGGGAUGACGUCAAAUCAGCACGGCCCUUACGUCCGGGGCGACACACGUGUUACAAUGGCGCGCACAGAGGGAGGCCACGGGGCGACCCGGAGCGGAACCCGAAAGCGCGCCCUAGUUCGGAUAGGAGUCUGCAACCCGACUCCUUGAAGCUGGAUUCGCUAGUAAUCGCGCAUCAGCCAUGGCGCGGUGAAUACGUUCCCGGGCCU